GACGAACGCUGGCGGCGUGCUUAACACAUGCAAGUCGAACGGAAAGGCCCUGCUUUUGUGGGGUGCUCGAGUGGCGAACGGGUGAGUAACACGUGAGUAACCUGCCCUUGACUUUGGGAUAACUUCAGGAAAAUGGGGCUAAUACCGGCUAGGAGCUCCUGCUGCAUUGUGGGGGUUGGAAAGUUCCGGCGGUUGGGGAUGGACUCGCGGCUUAUCAGCUUGUUGGUGGGGUAGUGGCUUACCAAGGCUUUGACGGGUAGCCGGCCUGAGAGGGUGACCGGCCACAUUGGGACUGAGAUACGGCCCAGACUCCUACGGGAGGCAGCAGUGGGGAAUAUUGCACGAUGGGCGGAAGCCUGAUGCAGCAACGCCGCGUGCGGGAUGACGGCCUUCGGGUUGUAAACCGCUUUCGCCUGUGACGAAGCGGGAGUGACGGUAAUGGGUAAAGAAGCACCGGCUAACUACGUG
rnacentral:rRNA from 1 species